rnacentral:rRNA from 1 species
GAUGAACGCCGGCGGCGUGCCUAAUACAUGCAAGUCGAGCGAACAGACGAGGAGCUUGCUCCUCUGACGUUAGCGGCGGACGGGUGAGUAACACGUGGAUAACCUACCUAUAAGACUGGGAUAACUUCGGGAAACCGGAGCUAAUACCGUAUAACAUGUUGAACCGCAUGGUUCAACAGUGAAAGACGGUCUUGCUGUCACUUAUAGAUGGAUCCGCGCCGCAUUAGCUAGUUGGUAAGGUAACGGCUUACCAAGGCAACGAUGCGUAGCCGACCUGAGAGGGUGAUCGGCCACACUGGAACUGAGACACGGUCCAGACUCCUACGGGAGGCAGCAGUAGGGAAUCUUCCGCAAUGGGCGAAAGCCUGACGGAGCAACGCCGCGUGAGUGAAGAAGGUCUUCGGAUCGUAAAACUCUGUUAUUAGGGAAGAACAAAUGUGUAAGUAACUAUGCACGUCUUGACGGUACCUAAUCAGAAAGCCACGGCUAACUACGUG